UGGGGGGCACAGACCACCCUGUGGCCUGAACAGGGGCGGCUGCCCAAGGAGCCGACUCAGGCCUCAAGCCUCACCCACCAAGGUCGCUGCUUCUGUACCCCUUCCUUCUUCAUGUGAAAUAAGAGGGCAUUUGCAGGUAAGCACGCUUUGGUUUGCCUGGAUUUAACUUAACAUCAAUAAAUGAGCAUGUGGGGCCCGUCCAUCCCUGGACACCCUCGGGUGCUGGUGUGUGCCCGGGGUGAAGAGGUUUGGUUUCACGCUUGCCAGGGGGCUCAGAGCUCUGGCUGGACUCUGAGGACCCAGGGGCCAGGGACGUGCCCCAUCGGGCCACCAGGGGGCGCACACCACCCGCCACUCGGCCAGCCCCCAAAACAGGGCUCUCACCGGGCGGGGGCAGCAGUGACCCAGGACUGUGGGCUCUGAACUCGAGGGAGCCCUUCCCCCCUACCCGCCAUCCUACCCAGUGUGCCCUUGCCCCUCACUUCAGCACUGCCAUGGUCCCUCACGAGCCCAGAGGGCAGAAGACACUGGCCCACCCCAAGGAAGGCCCGCUCCAGAAGGGUCACCCAGCAUCCCGCUGCCAUCCCAGGGUCAGCAGCAGGGAGACACCAGGGCCUGUCCAUGUCCCCAUCUGCUCAGGAAGAUGGAGGGGCCCUCACGAGGCGGAGCAGUCAGGGCAGCGAGAGGACACUGGGCCGGGGCAGGCCCCCCCUGCCCCAGAGCUGCAGCUUCCUGGGCCUGUACACCCCCACCCCAACAGGGGGGUGUUGACCUCGCCACUACCUGGCACCCCCGGAGCUGAGGGGCUGCUUGCCAGCACCUGCUUGUCUGGGACUCCAUACCCCCCAAGAGUCCCUGGAAAGAGUCCCUGCAACUUCCUAGGACAGCUUGAGGGCCAGGAGUGGCCCUAACCUCCACCUGCUGGACACCAGGGUGGAUUCGGCUUCCUGCGAGACUGUGUUGCCUGGUGCUCCACGCUGGACACUUGGAGCGAUGUGUUCCGGGAAGUUCCUGGCUAUAUUUAGCCUGGUGAUUCUCAUGCCAGCCCUUCCCAGAGGAAGGAAAUGGCCCUGAGCCCCCGGCACUCCUUCUGCAGCCAGGGCCUUCACCACAUAGACCUGCUGGGCCUCUGCUUCCCUCCCGAGCCGCUGAUGCGAGCACACCCAUCCCAACAGCACUGCCCUGGACAUCCUCACAGGAGCAGGGUCUGGAGGGACGGGCACUGGUCCACACACAGCCAGCAGCGCAGAGCCCUGGAGGACGCCCUCAGCCUGCUUUCCACAGCCUGCAGCACCUGCCAUUGCACUUUGCAUCCAGAGUCUCCCCAAAAGAUCUGGGAGGCCCGGUCACAGGCUAAGGAAUUCUGGGAAGAUGACUGGAUCUCGAGGACUCUGACUUCAUCGAUAGAUCGAUCAUAACCGAAGG
rnacentral:lncRNA from 1 species